AUGAAGUCACCGGAAAACGACAUCAGAAUCCUCCUCGGAAUCCCAACCAUGGCAGACCACCACGAUCGCCGCCACUUCCUCCGCCUCAUUUACGGGACCCAAUCGGUGGUGGGAGCAAAAAUCGAUGUCAAAUUUGUCUUCUGCAACCUAACAAAAGAAGACCAAAAAGUCCUAGUAGCACUUGAGAUAAUACAACACAACGAUAUCAUAAUCUUGAAUUGCAAAGAGAAUAUGGAUAAAGGUAAGACCUACACUUACUUCUCAAGCUUGCCAGAUAUGCUAAAACCCGAUCCCGAUUCCAAUUCUGAUUCCGAUCCUUACCCGCCAUACCAUUAUGUGAUAAAGGGCGAUGACGAUACGUAUUUCCGGUUGCAAAAAUUGGUGG
rnacentral:lncRNA from 1 species